AACGUGGUGUCUUCCGAGGCGGAGGCGGCGGCGGAGGCAAAGUCGAAAGGGUCUGUGACGAGAGCGAGCGAUCGAGAGAGAAAGAAAGAGAGAGAGAGAGAGAGAGAGGAGAGAAGGAAGAGGCGGGGAUGGGAACGAUCUGUAAUGGAUCCCUCUGUUCGGUGCUUCCAACUCCUCGGAGAUCUUUCGAGGGGAUUUCCUUUUUCCAUGGUAGUCAUCUCAGGAAUCUUGACAGCAGUUCGAGGAAGAAUUCCGGCAUCCGCUGCAAGAUCUCGGAGGGCGGCCCGGUGGAACAGGGCUCCCGUAAAAAUCUCGAGGUGGAGGACUAUAACACCGUCAUGAAGCGCAUGAUGAGGAACCCGUACGAGUACCAUCAUGAUCUUGGCAUGAAUUAUACUAUCAUAAACGAUAGUUUAAUUGUCGGUUCUCAGCCUCAAAAGCCCAAAGAUAUUGAUCACCUAAAAGAGGCAGAAAAUGUAGCAUACAUUCUGUGCUUGCAGCAAGAUAAAGACAUUGAGUACUGGGGAAUAAAUUUUCAAGAUAUUCUCAACAGGUGCAAAGAACUUGGCAUUCAUCACAUGAGAAGGCCUGCAAGGGACUUUGAUCCAGAUUCACUGAGGAGCCAAUUGCCAAAAGCAGUCUCUUCACUAGAAUGGGCUAUUUCUGAGGGUAAAGGAAGAGUUUAUGUCCAUUGUACCGCUGGACUGGGAAGGGCACCUGCAGUUGCAAUUGCUUAUUUGUUUUGGUUCUGUGACAUGGAUCUUAACACAGCCUAUAAUACUGUUACUUCAAAAAGACCCUGUGGGCCAAACAAGCGAGCCAUCAGAGGAGCUACUUAUGAUUUGGCAAAGAAUGACCCGUGGAAAGAGCCUUUCGAGAGCUUGCCUGAGCAUGCCUUCGGGGGUAUUGCUGACUGGGAAAGGAAGUUGAUUCGAGAGCGAGUACGUGGACUUGGUGGAACUUGAGACAAUAUUAUUGGUUGAUUCAUGUCGAAACCUACCACAAGUUCAAGUUUUUCUGUCACAGACCUGAAACGUAAGUAAUGGAAUAGUUCCUUAGUUUCCGGGAGACUCGAGUGACUUCAAGCUGUUUUCUCCGAGGGAAGGAAGGAGGUGGUCUUGUUUUGGUCAAUGCACCUUCAGCAUGCAGGAGGCUACAGUUGUUGUAUGCAGUGUUUUGGUCAAUGCUCCUGAUUUGGUUCUCGAGGAACUCCUUGAGCGAAGAAUUGGGGCAACAUGUUCCCUUCAACUUCUGUCUACCACCUUGAUUUCUGUGCUCAUGCUUUAAAGACUUGGAUCUGGUAAGAUCCAACAUCAAGCUAUGUCUGAGUUGGUGUGUUAGGGUACUUUACUACCUCCAAAAUCUAUAAAAAUGAAGUUGUUGCUCCUA